rnacentral:rRNA from 1 species
AACGCUGGCGGCGUGCCUAAUACAUGCAAGUCGAACGGUCUUUCUAUGGAAGCUUGCUUCCACUGAGAAGAUAGUGGCGAACGGGUGAGGUAACACGUGGGUAACCUGCCCAUAAGAGGGGGAUAACAUCCGGAAACGGGUGCUAAUACCGCAUAGUUUUCUUGAUCGCAUGAUCGGGAAAGGAAAGACGGCCUUUGUGCUGUCGCUUAUGGAUGGACCCGCGGCGUAUUAGUUAGUUGGUGAGGUAACGGCUCACCAAGACGAUGAUACGUAGCCGACCUGAGAGGGUGAUCGGCCACAUUGGGACUGAGACACGGCCCAAACUCCUACGGGAGGCAGCAGUAGGGAAUCUUCCGCAAUGGACGAAAGUCUGACGGAGCAACGCCGCGUGAGUGAAGAAAGGUUUUCGGAUCGUAAAACUCUGUUGUCAGAGAAGAACAAGUUGGAGAGUAACUGCUCCAGCCUUGACGGUAUCUGACCAGAAAGCCACGGCUAACUACGUGCCAGCAGCCGC